UGGGGAAUAUUGGGCAAUGGGCGCAAGCCUGACCCAGCAACGCCGCGUGAGGGAAGAAGGUCUUCGGAUUGUAAACCUCUGUCCUUGGGGACGAAAAAAAUGACGGUACCCGAGGAGGAAGCUCCGGCUAACUACGUGCCAGCAGCCGCGGUAAUACGUAGGGAGCGAGCGUUGUCCGGAAUUACUGGGCGUAAAGGGUGCGUAGGCGGCAUGGCAAGUCAGAUGUGAAAUCCCCGGGCUUAACUCGGGAGUUGCAUUUGAAACU
rnacentral:rRNA from 1 species